AAUGGGGGAAACCCUGACGCAGCAACGCCGCGUGAGUGAUGAAGGUCUUCGGAUUGUAAAACUCUGUCUUUGGGGACGAUAAUGACGGUACCCAAGGAGGAAGCCACGGCUAACUACGUGCCAGCAGCCGCGGUAGUACGUAGGUGGCAAGCGUUGUCCGGAUUUACUGGGCGUAAAGAGUAUGUAGGCGGACAUCUAAGUCAGAUGUGAAAUCCCCGGGCUUAACCUGGGAGCUGCAUUUGAUACUGGGUGUCUAGAGUGUAGGAGAGGAAAGUGGAAUUCCUAGUGUAGCGGUGAAAUGCGUAGAGAUUAGGAAGAACACCAGUGGCGAAGGCGACUUUCUGGACUAUAACUGACGCUGAGGCGCGAAAGCGUGGGGAGCAAA
rnacentral:rRNA from 1 species